CUCUUAGUUACAGUAUCAUAGACAAUGAGGUUUAUCCUAGGCAUAAUUAUUGCUAAUUAAAAACUUUGCCCAACACCUGCUGUGAUAACUUGCAAUAUACUUAGCAUUGGAAAUUUUUUCAGUCUCUACAGAGA